UAGUCCACGCCCUAAACGAUGCUUACUCGACGUUUGUCCUUAGGGAUGAGCGUCUAAGGGAAACCACUAAGUAAGCCUCCUGGGGAGUACGUCGGCAACGAUGAAACUCAAAGGAAUUGACGGGGGCCCGCACAAGCGGUGGAGCAUGUGGUUUAAUUCGAUGCAACGCGAAGAACCUUACCUACCCUUGACAUUGACAGAAUCCUGUAGAGAUACGGGAGUGCCUUCGGGCCUGGAAAACAGGUGCUGCAUGGCUGUCGUCAGCUCGUGUCGUGAGAUGUUGGGUUAAGUCCCGUAACGAGCACAACCCUUGUCCUUAGCUGCCAGCACGUAAUGGUGGGGACUCUAAGGAGACUGCCGGUGACAAACCGGAGGAAGGUGGGGACGACGUCAAGGUCAUCAUGGCCCUUAUGGGUAGGGCUACACACGUGCUACAAUGGGCAGUACAGAGGGUUGCGAAGCCGCGAGGUGGAGCUAAUCUCAGAAAACUGUUCGUAGUCCGGAUUGCACUCUGCAACG
rnacentral:rRNA from 1 species